rnacentral:rRNA from 1 species
GGGGGGGGCAAGCGUUUGUUCGGAAUUACUGGGCGUAAAGGGCGCGUAGGCUGUCCCGCAAGUCUUUCGUGAAAUCCCACAGCUCAACUGUGGAAUUGCGAGAGAAACUGCAGGACUUGAGUUCGGGAGAGGAGAGUGGAAUUCCCAGUGUAGCGGUGAAAUGCGUAGAUAUUGGGAGGAACACCGGUGGCGAAGGCGGCUCUCUGGACCGACACUGACGCUGAGGCGCGAAAGCUAGGGGAGCAAACGGGGAUUAGAUACCCCGGUAGUCCUAGCCCUAAACGAUGAGCACUUGGUGUGGCGGGUAUCGACCCCUGCCGUGCCCGAAGCUAACGCAUUAAGUGCUCCGCCUGGGGAGUACGGUCGCAAGGCUG